UGUUGACCUCGGAUCAGGUAGGAAUACCCGCUGAACUUAAGCAUAUCAUA
rnacentral:rRNA from 2 species